rnacentral:rRNA from 1 species
UAUGUGGCAUACGGCUCAGUAACACGUAGUCAACAUGCCCAGGGGACGUGGAUAACCUCGGGAAACUGAGGAUAAACCGCGAUAGGCCAUGAUUUCUGGAAUGGUUCAUGGCCGAAAUCUAUAUGGCCCCUGGAUUGGACUGCGGCCGAUCAGGCUGUUGGUGAGGUAAUGGCCCACCAAACCUGUAACCGGUACGGGCUCUGAGAGGAGGAGCCCGGAGAUGGGCACUGAGACAAGGGCCCAGGCCCUAUGGGGCGCAGCAGGCGCGAAAUCUCUGCAAUAGGCGAAAGCUUGACAGGGUUACUCUGAGUGAUUCCCGCUAAGGGGAUCUUUUGGCGCCUUUAAAAAUGGUGCAGAAUAUGGGGUGGGCAAGUCUGGUGUCAGCCGCCGCGGUAAUACCAGCACCCCGAGUGGUCGGGACGAUUAUUGGGCCUAAAGCAUCCGUAGCCGGUACUGCAAGUCUUCCGUUAAAUCCACCUGCUUAACAGUUGGGCUGCGGGGGAUACUACAGCGCUAGGAGGCGGGAGAGGCAAGCGGUACUCAAUGGGUAGGGGUAAAAUCCGCUGAUCCAUUGAAGACCACCAGUGGCGAAGGCGGCUUGCCAGAACGCGCUCGACGGUGAGGGAUGAAAGCUGAGGGAGCAAACCGGAUUAGAUACCCGGGUAGUCCCAGCUGUAAACGAUGCAGACUCGGUGAUGGGCUGGCCUUGUGCCAACCCAGUGCCGCAGGGAAGCCGUUAAGUCUGCCGCCUGGGGAGUACGGUCGCAAGACUGAAACUUAAAGGAAUUGGCGGGGGAGCACCACGAGGGGUGAAGCCUGCGGUUCAAUUGGAUUCAACGCCGGG